GUUUAUUUGGUGGAAAUGGUAGACACGAUAGACUUAAAAUCUAUUUCUCUUGCAG
rnacentral:tRNA from 1 species